rnacentral:rRNA from 1 species
CCUACGGGAGGCAGCAGUGGGGAAUUUUCCGCAAUGGGCGAAAGCCUGACGGAGCAAUACCGCGUGAGGGAGGAAGGCUCUUGGGUUGUAAACCUCUUUUUUCAGGGAAGAUAAUGACGGUACCUGAGGAAUAAGCAUCGGCUAACUCCGUGCCAGCAGCCGCGGUAAUACGGAGGAUGCAAGCGUUAUCCGGAAUGAUUGGGCGUAAAGCGUCCGCAGGUGGUUUUAAAAGUCUGUUGUUAAAGCGUGAGGCUUAACCUCAUAAGGGCAAUGGAAACUGUAAGACUAGAGUACGUUCGGGGCAAGGGGAAUUCCCAGUGUAGCGGUGAAAUGCGUAGAGAUUGGGAAGAACACCGGUGGCGAAAGCGCCUUGCUAGGCCGUAACUGACACUGAGGGACGAAAGCUAGGGGAGCGAAUGGGAUUAGAUACCCCAGUAGUCCUAGCCGUAAACGAUGGAUACUAGGCGUUGUCUGUAUCGACCCGGACAGUGCCGUAGCUAAACGCGUUAAGUAUCCCGCCUGGGGAGUACGCACGCAAGUGUGAAACUUAAAUGAAAUUGAACGG